rnacentral:rRNA from 1 species
GAUGAACGCUGUCUACAGGCUUAACACAUGCAAGUCGAGGGGAAACGACGGGGGAGCUUGCUUCCCCGGGUGUCGACCGGCGCACGGGUGAGUAACGCGUAACCAACCUGCCUCUGACUGAGGGAUAACCCGUCGAAAGGCUGCCUAAGACUUCAUUUCAUCGUCGGCUGGCUUCCAACGACGAUUCAAGAUUUCUUCGGUCAGGGGUGGGGUUGCGUCUGCUUAGCUUGAUGGCGGGGUAACGGCCAACCAAGGGUACGAUCAGGAGGGGUUCUGGGAGGAAGGUCCACCGCAAUGGAAAUGAGAUACGGUCCAAACUCCUACGGGAGGCAGGGGUGAGGAAUAUAGGUCGAUGGGCGGGAGCCUGAACCAGCCAAGUAGGGUGCAGGAUGACGGCCAUCGGGGUUGUCAACUGCUUGUAUGCGGGGAAAAAGUAAGGGACGGGGCCUUCAUUGCAGGUACCGAAUGAAUAAGGACCGGCUAAUUCCGUG